CUUCACCAUCAUGACCAUUAAACCAAGAAGUGGGCUGCAGGAAGCACCAGUUCUGUUCAGACAUCAGGGAGGGAACACAGGAAUUGAGGAAGGGGAGAUGGAGGGUCUUGAGGUCAGUUCUCAGAAGACAAGAAUAUGAGGAGGUGCUAGGAGGAGCCUUCGGGGUGAUAGCGGUGCAAUGGCAAGGAGAGGAAUGUCCAUCAGCAUCAAGGUUUCUCAGGAGGCAGAGCACAGUGUGCCCUCAUUUCCCCCUGAAGCCCUACAGGACGUUGCCCUGUAGCAAUGCUUCACACAGACCGCUCCUGGACUGGCACUACAGCCCUGCAGAGAGCUUAGCUGGAGAAACACAGCCCUGAUCAGCCUAUCCAUGGCCUCGUGGAUGGAGCACUGAAUUAUAGAAUCACAGAAUUGCUCAGGUUGGAAAAGACCUUCAAGAUCAUCGAGUCCAACCGCAGCCCAACCAUCCUACCCUAACUCUAACAACCCUCUGCUAAAUCGUGGCCCUGAAGCCAAGGUGAGGACGUUCCCCUGCACAGAAGCAGCUGCUGCUGCAUCUCCUGUGCUGCUUUUGUACCCAGGAUGAAGCCAAGGUGGGGGCAGAAGGAGAAGGGAAGGGAGAUGGGAAGGAGGGUGUUAAGUAUUUGAUGCUGCAGGGAUGGAACGGCUCAUUCCUACUGUCUGUAGGACCAGUCAAAGAUAAGCAAAUGAAUGAAGUAAAACAAAUUAGUCACAACCACUUGGUUACUGGAGAAAUAAGGAGAAAGUGAGAGAGAAAAAGAGCCCAGUGGAGACCUCCAUGAGGUCUGAGAGGGCACCAGGAGGGGUCAGAUCAUGGAGCUGACAGGGGAGGGCCGGGGGGGGUGGAGUGAGGGAAAGGCUGGUCAGUGGGGGGAGCCCCAAGGCCGUGCCAUGAGGAUGGGACUCAGUGCUCUGUAGGUUCAGAGCUGUGCAUGGGAACCCUGGGGGCCAAAACAGCGAUGCCACUGAUGGCACUGGGGACUGAACUUGCCCUGGGCUGCUUGCUGCCUGCCACCCGCGUGGCAGUGGGGUCUGUAUGAAUAACUAGAUCUGUCCUCCCGGCUCUCUGUUAGCAUCUGCAUCUCCUCCAGCCUCAUCUCCUCUGUCCUUACUAUUUUUAAACCUAUUUCCGCUCCUCUCUCCUUCUUCAGUUCAGCCUUUCCCAUACGCUUCACUGACACUUCUAGCCCGGAAAACCCAACUAAAUAUAAUUAUUCUCCCAUUUGUCAGCCCUGCCAGGGAUCGGAGGAAGCUUGGAGCGGAGGAAUGGUGCAGCUUUUGUGGUUUUCCAUCAUUUUGGAAGCAUGGGAAGCUGCUGUUCACCAGCACACGUAGCCAAAAGUGCAUUCCUAGGGCAGGAUCUGGGUAUGGGGCUGGGGCUGGGACAGGCAAGAGGAACCCCAACAGCCAUAAAGGCUGGGGGAGGCUUUUGGCUUGACUCAACCCCAAGGGCAGUGCGGGGGUGGGUGGCAUUAGGAUACAUUUUCUGCCCACCUGAAACAAGAGCACUGAGAUUGUUUAGCUAAUAGGAAAACACAGGCCAUAAAGUCCUACAGAACCACGACACGGUGCGGUGAUGUCUCCUUGCUUCUCCAACACCUGAUGUCCACAAAGCCUAAUUUGUACCAAGGCUACGCCAUCCCCCUGCCCGGUGACCCACCUUCAAUCAUACAAUCAUGGGAGAUCCAAGAAGCAGUGAAUUGCUUCAUGCAAAGGUAUGUCAACGAGUCUCUCUUGAGGAGUCAGUGGCAGAGCCUGGAGAUGAUCCAUUACACAGCCCGCAGUUUAUGAACUUGCCUCCAGCAGGUCCUAUUAUUCCAUUAGCUGGAAUUAGGGAGAAAAGCAUUGUUAAACAGCUAAUUCAUCGAGACAGACCUUUACGCAGUGACUAAACUUGAGGUUUGUUUGGAAAGUGGAGAUAAAUGUGAGGAAAAAAUACCAUGCAGCCUCGAUGACUGUUCUUCUUUAUAUUUUCUCUGUCUGAAAAUUAUACUUCAGGCUCCAUUUAGCCCCUUUUUAGUCCGGAAGAUUAGGGAAACAAAAAAGAACACGUGUUGCAUUCAAAGUAAGCACAGUAGAUUUCUCUUCUGGCUAUAAAACUGAACCAAACCAUCAGUUUGAUCUCCUGGAGUGCCCCAGGGUAAAAAACUCCACUCCUCCCAAAUCAGUGCUCGUAUCACCAGAGAAGGUUCGCGCGCCAUCAGCAGAGAGAGAUUUCUUGCUCAUGGUUCUUCCCACCAUGAGCUGUAUAGGGUCGUGAUGUCCUAUGGAUGCUGCCUCCACCACUGAGGUGACUGAAACAUCACGGGGGUGUCCCUCUGCUUUGCAGAGGAGGGUGAAAAACCAGCUUCAUCCACACCUAGCAUCCCAUAGCCACCAGCAUCCCGCUGCUCAUCACUGGAGAUGCUCAUCAGUCUCGCACCAAAGCAGUACCUUCCAGGAAACCCAAUGUAGAUUCAGCCACCCGUGUGCCCAGGGAUGGGGCUGGCUCUGUCCCAGCGAGCCCCAUUCUGUGACCUUGGUGAUCCCAUCAGUGGCUUCCCAGACACAGAGGUGCCGGUCACACCAGUUUGUUUUAGUGAGGUUGGACUAAGAGCUUCCCGUCAGCUUUGCAGUGCAGGCUGGAAACGUGAGCCCCCAGCACUCAUGCACUGCCCCUUCAGCCUCUUCUCACUGCUGCAUCCUCACCUUUACUUCCCACUCCACCUCAGCUCCUCCUUUGCGAGGUACAUCCCAACUCCCGCUGAAUUCAGUGCUUGGAAUGAAUAAAGCAUGGGAGACUUCCCCACCAUUUAGGCCAGCUUUGCCCCUCAAAUCACUCCCAGCAAUUAUUUCCAUGGGGAAAAGUCCAGAUGUUUCACAGAGUCACCACGGUUGGAAAAGAGCUCCAAGACCAUCCAGUCCAACCAUCCACCACCACCAUUUCCCCCACUGAACCACGUCCCUUAGCACAACAUUUACGUGGUUCUUGAACACCUCCAGGGAUGGUGACUCAGCUUCAUGCCAAGAGGUUCCCAUCCCUUGGGAGAGAGUUCCCAUCCCUUGGGUGUAUUGAAGGAGAGGUGGAGAAGUGGGUUUUUCUCUAAUUUCUGGCGUCAUGUCCGGCUGGAGAAUGGGAAAGGGCUAAGAGAAAAAACCACAAAACACAGCCUCGAGAAGCUGAAGAAUAAAACAAAGAAUAAAAACGGGAGAGAAAAGGAUGGGGGAUUCCUGGAAAAACAAACAACAAAGAAACCUGGCCUGGAAAUGAGGCACCACUUUGCACAUCCAGCGUGACUUUGGAAACUGCAGUCAGUGGUACUGCUGGGUACGACCGUCACCAACAGAUGGCAGAGAUGUCAGAAGUUUGGGGUCUGAGUGUUUCCCUUUAAAUGAAGUGCAGCUCUUGGUCUGUGUCCUGACCUAUUCGAGGCUCCGGAGCUGCCUUGCAUUCUUUGCUGCUUCUUCUCUAUGUUCGGGCAGCGAAUGAGCUUGAAAUAAACCCCAGCUGGAUGGGGCUGAGCCAGAACCACGCAGGAGAGGAGGGCGGCUCUGAGAGGCUUCAAUCCACACGUAUCUUUUAACCACAUCAUUCUCCUCGGAUUCUAACUAGGAGUAAUUACAGGGGGAUAUGAGACUCGUCCUGGAAGCCAACAGAAUCCAGGAGUGCAAACAGUAUAGAAAGACGGGCUCCAUUUGUGCGCGGCUGGCAAACACUCAGCAUUCCCCUGGAGGUGAUUAGGGGUGAGACAACGGUCCCCAUUCAUCACCUCCUCCCACUGUACCUCUCCCUUGCCUGCCUGGCCACCUCUGCUCCAUGCUGAACAAGAGACCUUGUGUGCAAAACCCGAGUCCAUCAGCGCCGACGCCUCCUCCAGGCUUUGAAACAGCUUUGCAUGCCACGGGUGCAAUGUAAGAGAGGUUUCAUUUGCUGUGCAUUGGCCAGGAGCAUGAGCUGUGCUGCUGCCCGGCAGCCUCAGAGGUGGAGGUGAAAAGGGUUGGAGCAAAGCUGGGCAUUCACAUUGGAGAAGGGGCAUUGACCAUGGUCCUGUGGUGCUGCAAAACACAAAGUGGGAGCCUGUCUGUGCCUGGGGUUUAUGCAGACUGACCAGAAGUAGGAGAGAAGAAGAGAUGCAGAAGCUUCUCCGUGGCUGUCAGGGACCACACAGCCUGCCAGAUCCGUGGAUGGAUGGAGGAGAUGCCUCUGUGGCUCCCUAUAAAGCACUCAGCAUCCUUUCGGAGUGGGCAUGCAGCACAAAGCAGCACAGGUUUCACAGCACGGGACACCCAGCUUCUGCUCUGCCCCAGCCUUGCACUCCGUGCCUCAGUUUCCCCGGUCCUUGAGCCAAUCAGCCUCACUUAGCUUUACAAAACCCGGAAAUCUGCAGCUGCAGACCUUGCUGUGGGAUGAGUCAGAUGUUCCAGCUCACAGCUGCUGAGCCCCGCGUGGCUGCGGCCGUCUCCCUGGGCUGCAUUUGUCCCUCUUCCUGCAGCCACAAGUAUCCGAGUGCCUGAGAGCCCCAUGAGCUCCCGGACCCAUUUGGGAAGAUGGGAAACCUUCUUAGAGGUUCAAAGCUUCUGUAAGCAACAGAGCUCCAUCUCCAUCGGUGUGUUAUGAAUGGAUAUAACCCCCGGUCUCUGCACUGGCAGAGGGAAGGAGAGAAAAGCCAGGGUGUAUUUCCCUGCAGUGGCCAAACUGCCCGUCAGCGCCCACAGCAGCUAAUGAACUCUAGGAACAGCUACUUGCCAAGGCUCGUGCUGCCAGGACAGCUGAGCACAACAAGGUUUGGCCACGUGUUUUGCAAGACGUGCUGCAUCCAGUGGCCGGAGGGCGAUUUGCAAAGAAAAAGCAGAGAAACGUUUGCAUUUGGGUGCAUUUCUGUGCUUUCGGCAAAGGCUGCAGACAGCUGGGGCUGAUUCUAAGAUGGGAAGCAGAGAAAGGUUCACUGGACGAUCAGCAGCAUUCCUCCCUGCAAGUAAUAAAAGAAGGAAAAUGGAAAUCUUGCCGUGGCUUUUGCUUCUAAAUUUAACACAGUUCUCCC
rnacentral:lncRNA from 1 species